rnacentral:rRNA from 1 species
CGGGACGGGUGAGUAAUGUCUGGGAAACUGCCUGAUGGAGGGGGGUAACUACUGGAAACGGUAGCUAAUACCGCAUAACGUCGCAAGACCAAAGAGGGGGACCUUAGGGCCUCUUGCCAUCGGAUGUGCCCAGAUGGGAUUAGCUAGUAGGUGGGGUAACGGCUCACCUAGGCGACGAUCCCUAGCUGGCCUGAGAGGAUGACCAGCCACACUGGAACUGAGACACGGUCCAG